GAUGAACGCUGACGGCGUGCCUAAUACAUGCAAGUCGAGCGAACAGACGAGGAGCUUGCUCCUCUGACGUUAGCGGCGGACGGGUGAGUAACACGUGGAUAACCUACCUAUAAGACUGGGAUAACUUCGGGAAACCGGAGCUAAUACCGGAUAAUAUAUUGAACCGCAUGGUUCAAUAGUGAAAGACGGUUUUGCUGUCACUUAUAGAUGGAUCCGCGCCGCAUUAGCUAGUUGGUAAGGUAACGGCUUACCAAGGCGACGAUGCGUAGCCGACCUGAGAGGGUGAUCGGCCACACUGGAACUGAGACACGGUCCAGACUCCUACGGGAGGCAGCAGUAGGGAAUCUUCCGCAAUGGGCGAAAGCUUGACGGAGCAACGCCGCGUGAGUGAUGAAGGUCUUCGGAUCGUAAAACUCUGUUAUUAGGGAAGAACAAAUGUGUAAGUAACUAUGCACGUCUUGACGGUACCUAAUCAGAAAGCCACGGCUAACUACGUG
rnacentral:rRNA from 1 species